rnacentral:antisense_RNA from 1 species
UUUGAUCGAUCCCAGCCAGAGUGGACGCUCCCGAUUGUGACCGUAGGUGGCCAACAGCGCCUGUGCUUC